rnacentral:rRNA from 1 species
UACGUAGGGUGCGAGCGUUGUCCGGAAUUACUGGGCGUAAAGAGCUCGUAGGUGGUUUGUCGCGUUGGUCGUGAAAUCUCACGGCUUAACUGUGAGCGUGCGGGCGAUACGGGCAGACUAGAGUACUGCAGGGGAGACUGGAAUUCCUGGUGUAGCGGUGGAAUGCGCAGAUAUCAGGAGGAACACCGGUGGCGAAGGCGGUUCUCUGGGCCUUACCUGACGCUGAGGAGCGAAAGCGUGGGGAGCGAACAGG